GGUGUAGCUGGUCCCUAAUUAACUUGGGGGCAUGUGCACACCUUUCUCUUUCAUCCCAUACACACCUGUGCACCUGUGAGACAGAUGUUUUCUAGAGGGGAAGGAACUUUAUUGGACCUACUCUUCUUGGACCCCGCCUACUACUUAUAUAUAAUCUCCUCUUAUUAUAUUAUGAAGGUUGUGGAGGAAGCACCUCUACUAAUACUAUUCUACAACGACGCUCUUGUUUCUUCUCUCGUUGAAGAACACCGCGAAAAGCUGUAAUAAAUGNGGAGAGUAGAAUACUUCGAAGCAUCGUCUCUUCGAACGCCCCUUCUUCUCCUUGUUGUUCCUUGUAGCAUGCUUGUUGGAUUAUCAUGAAAUCUUCAUCGACGCCCCAUCUGUUAACUCCUUUGUUGCUGCUUUGUUAUUGUUGGACUACUGCUGCUUCUCCCCUGCUCCUCUUCGUGGAUUAUUUGCAGCACCUCGGUGUGCUGGUUGCCACCCCUCGUGAUAAUAUAUCUAUCAUUGAUGACAACCCGCUGUUAAGGAGGGGNCACCGUAGAUGAUGAUGAUCCGCUUCUACCAGCCCAUUCUUCUCUACAAAUAUUAUUAUUAUGAUGAGAUCACCUCUCAUGNAGGACUACCACCUGAUCUUCUUCAUAUUAUNANNAGGNANGAA
rnacentral:misc_RNA from 1 species